rnacentral:misc_RNA from 1 species
UCUUGGCGGCAGAGUGUCCUGGCGA